GGGAGGUCUGCAGCCGCUCGGAAGGAGCACUGUGUGUUAAACUCACCCGGCUGGCAGCUCCCACUCAGAGAUGAGCUCAUCUCUAUUCUUAGCGUGAUUAAAAAAUAGGCCAGUGCCAAGCGAGCGUUGUUUACCCAGGGCAAGCGGAAGAGGCAGCCAUGCGAAAGGCCCAGAUGGAGCUGUUGCUGACGACACUGAGCGGCUCCUGCGCCCCAUGGGGAAGGUGUCCUUGCUUCUCCACCUGCCCCAGCUGAGGGCGCCAUGCCAGAGCUCCCUCCCCGGCAGCUGCAGGAGGGGCCCCGGGCUGCCGUCGGCUGCCACCGUUCCAGGAGGCCGCAGCCUGCCCAUGCACAGGGUAUCCCAGCAUUUCUAACAGCGUCCUGCUGUCACUGUGCGCGGCUCAGCUUCGGCGUCUCUCCAACACCAGGCGCGCUGCGGCGUCCCCAGGUGGGCGGCCCAGCAUCACUGUCUGCUCUCCAGGAGUGGGAAUCAGCCCUGCCUUGCUGCCGGCUGUGUCUGCUCAGCAAGGAUCUCGUGGUGAACACAACAGGCCCAACUCUCUAAUCGCUUGCACCAGUGGUGCUCCGGGACCACUCCUGAUAAACGUGGGGUCAGGUUUUCUAGACCUUUAAUCAUUUUUGUUGCUCUUCUCUGGACUUUCUCCAAUUUGUCCACAUCUUUCCUGGAAUGUGGCACCCAGAACUGGACACAAUACUCCAGCUGAGGCCUUAUCAGCACGGACUGAGCUUUGGAGUCUGAAGUGUGAGAUCUAGUGUAAGUGCGCAAGGGAGCAGGAAGCAACAAGCAUGAACGUGACGGGGGAUCAGUCAUUGCUCACCUCUGAAUAAAGAUGCCAGCCCUAUGAAGAAAGGCCAAAGGUAUUUAGGCACCUAACUCCCAUUGAAAUCAAGGGGACUUAAAUACCUUUGAGGACCUGGGCCCGAGCGUUUAAGGGAUCUGCUGUGUACAGAUGGGGGCUCACGCUCACACUGUGGACCCGGGGACACUGGAUGCAGCUCUGUAGCUCAGCAUGUGAAGGGGCAGUGAAGACCAGGCCUGGCUCCUCCACUUUGCCCACUGUCACACUCCCUCCCUAUUCUUUGCAGCCUCUCUCACCCUUCACCUCUGAUUUUCCCGUGGGAGUCACCCCGCCUUGGGCUCACCUUGUCAAUAUCCUCAUGCCUCACGGGGAAGGAGAAUGUGAAGCCCAGAGGCAGCUUUUUGUGUUUCAUCUGGUGUUUAUCCAGGAAGUCGGAGAUGCAUUCGGAGAUGUAAUCGAAGAGCUGGAAAAGGGAGGCCCCAAGUCACUCCAAAAUCAUGACAACAGCAUUGCUGGGCAUUUCUCAUCAGCCCUGCAACCACCAACCUCCUCCUGCCUCUGACGGCCUCCUCUAUGGGAUGCCUGGCUCCACACUCCCCGCCACUCCAUGCUGCCCAGUUCUCUAGCCUCUACCCAGGUCCAUUCAUUGACUUUCUAUUGGAUGUUGCCUCGGGAAUAAUGACCAUCAGUGAUUAUUACCCAGAAAACCACACGCACUACAUAAAGAUUUCUAUGGCGCGCAUUAUAUAGACAUGCAGAUGUCUGCAGUCGCAGCAUUGCCCACCAGAGGGCACCCAACCCUCUGGUAUAACGUAGUGGCCCAUGCAAUGGCAGUUCCUAAUUCCAGCUUUGGAGAUCUGCAAAAUCUGUGCUCAGGGGUAGCUCUUGCCUGUCUCAGAGCGGCCAACAGCACAUGGGCUAGCACUGCCGGCCAUGGCUUCCACCCACGCCUCUUAGGCUGAGUUGAUGUGUGCAGCUGCCCAGUCCUAGCUAGAGGUACAGAGGAAAUGAAUACUGGUAGAGGAGGCUGGGACUGGGCACACACACCUGGUGUGCGUGGGGAUGAAUGUGUGUAUGUGAGAGCAGAUGACUUUAUCUCUGCCCUAAAUCCGGUUGUCUGUACCCUACUGGCCUUCCUCUGAUAUGUUCGUUGAAGGAAUUACUCUUGGAUAGAGCUGGGCGAAAUUUUCCUAGUCAAAACUUUUUGGGGGUGUGUGUGUGGGGGGAAUUCUGACAUGACUUUGGUGUGUCUGUGCCAGGCAAGUGCUUAGAUGACAUGGCUGCCACGUUGUGGGUGGAAUAUAUUGUUACGUAGAGAAGCUGAAGUCUUCGGGAACAAUACCGAGAUCUGUGACUGGUGAGUGCGGGAAUUUGAGUAGAGGGCUGGUAUAAUUCUGUGUUUUUAUUUGAAAAUUCGAUUAGUUCAGUCCUCCCCUUCACAUAUGUAAGUAUUUUGUGUCCCUAGUAAUGGCUAUUUUAAUGCAGCCAGUAAAAUUAAUUAUUCACA